AAGCAGACAUCAAGAAAAGUUUAGACCAUGCAAGAACAACUGGAGAGACUUUGACAGCUCAGGUCAGCACAAUACCUGCAGCUGCCACUCACCUUUCCUAUAAAG
ensembl:snoRNA